rnacentral:rRNA from 1 species
AGUGAACGCUGGCGGUAGGCCUAACACAUGCAAGUCGAACGGCAGCACAGUAAGAGCUUGCUCUUACGGGUGGCGAGUGGCGGGCGGGUGAGGAAUACAUCGGAAUCUACUUUUUCGUGGGGGAUAACGUAGGGAAACUUACGCUAAUACCGCAUACGACCUACGGGUGAAAGCAGGGGAUCUUCGGACCUUGCGCGAUUGAAUGAGCCGAUGUCGGAUUAGCUAGUUGGCGGGGUAAAGGCCCACCAAGGCGACGAUCCGUAGCUGGUCUGAGAGGAUGAUCAGCCACACUGGAACUGAGACACGGUCCAGACUCCUACGGGAGGCAGCAGUGGGGAAUAUUGGACAAUGGGCGCAAGCCUGAUCCAGCCAGACCGAGUGGGUGAAGAAGGCCUUCGGGUUGUAAAGCCCUUUUGUUGGGAAAGAAAAGCAGCAGGUUAAUACCCCGCUGUUCUGACGGUACCCAAAGAAUAAGCACCGGCUAACUUCGUG